rnacentral:rRNA from 1 species
UACGAAGGGGGCUAGCGUUGUUCGGAAUCACUGGGCGUAAAGGGCGCGUAGGCGGCUGUUCAAGUCGGGGGUGAAAGCCUGUGGCUCAACCACAGAAUUGCCUUUGAUACUGGACGGCUGGAGACCGGAAGAGGUCAGUGGAACUGCGAGUGUAGAGGUGAAAUUCGUAGAUAUUCGCAAGAACACCAGUGGCGAAGGCGGCUGACUGGUCCGGUUCUGACGCUGAGGCGCGAAAGCGUGGGGAGCAAACAGG